AUAUAGCCGUCCAGCCGGACAGCCCCAACUCCCCUGUUUUCUGCGGGGAGGUCCGGGGCUGUGGACGGGGAGGACAGCCGCGCAACGACGUGGGAAAAAACAAAACAACAACAUCCAGAGGACCCGUUUGAUUAAAAAAUGGACGGGGCCGGCGGGACGUCACGGUGCGCCGCGGCCACACAGCUCCAGACGCCGCUCAGGAACGCGUUCAUUAGGCUCCGGCUGCCGCGCGUCCGGGGGGACGCCCGGUCCCCAGGAUCUCACCCGAACCCCGGGCAACCCAGCCCGGUGCACCCGAGGACGGGAAAGUGAAUGAGAGGCUGCAUGUUCCUGCUGGAGGGCUGAGCUCGCAGGCCUGAGGGGUUGUCUGUUAUCUUUGGUUAUCUAGCUGUAUGAGUGACGUACAUUCUUCAUAAAGCUAGAUAACCGAAAGUAACAAGAAUCCCAUUACGUGCCUGCGUGGGAAAAAGUGACAGAAAAGGGGGCAAAAAGCAAUAGAGAGAGAGAGAGAGAGAGAGAGAGCGAGAUGCAGCAAACAGGACUGAUGUGGACCAGGAUGCUUCUAACCAGGGAUGUAAAGGUUUCUAAUCUGACUGGAGUUGGAGAUUGCCUGACCUAAAUGACGACAGCUGAAGCAGGGAUGCUGAUUUCACUCGGUGGUCGUACGUCAUUCCUAACCUGGAGAAAAGGAGCUGCAACACAGGCCGCUCUCAGGGAUCAACCCGGGGCUGCUCAGCUGGAAACAGCGGUCACGGUCGGCUGAGUGACAUCUCAGUGACUAAAGCAAAGAGGAAGACUUGAAAUGAUGCAAAACAAACACUUGGUUGUUGUCGAGGCUGAUGCUCAAAGGACGGGACUGUGGAUUCUGAGAGCGUGUGUUCUGGAGCCUGAGCUGCUCGGCAUGUUUGAUGUUAAUGUAGGUCUGAGCUCAGACCAUCAUUCUCUCUCUCUCUCUCUCUCCGAACACAGACACACACUUUACAGAGAUUUAUGUACAUGUAUGAAAAAACUUGGAAAAUUGAUUGAUUGAUUGAUUUUAUUUUAUCUGAACAUACUGUAGAAAUCAGGUUGUUUUUUUAAAAUUAUAAUAAGCUUUUUCUUUUCUUUCACUUUCUCUGGUUUCAAAUUCCUAGAAACUACAGGACUGUCUCAGAAAAUUAGAAUAUUGUGAUAAAGUUCUUUAUUUUCUCUAAUGCAAUUAAAAAAACAAAAAUGUCAUACAUUCUGGAUUACUGUUUACAGUUUAAGAUUAAGAUUCCCAGAAUAUUCAAAUUUUUUGAGAUAGGAUAUUUGAGUAAGCUGUAAACUGUAAGCUGUAAGCCAUGAUCAGCAAUAUUAAAAUAAUAAAAGACUUGCAAUAUUUCAGUUGAUUUGUAAUGAAUCCAGAAUGUAUGACAUUUUUGUUUUUGUAAUUGCAUUACAGAAAAUCACAAUAUUCUAAUUUUCUGAGACAGUCCUGUAAUGUCGACUCACGCGCAACUCCACCGACAGGGAAUAUGUUAACAAUCUGCCACCUGAAACAUUUAAAUUACAUUUUUGUGUUACAGCAAGAUAGUUAUCUUCUGACAUUUUGUAAUCAUUUUGUGACUUUCCAUGUUGAAUUUCCGGAGUAUGUUUUUCUUCAAAAUAGUUAUAAUAACUGGAUAUUAAUUAGUAACAUGAUUUGUUAUUACUGCACUUAACACAGUUCCUUAAAAACAAAAAAAAAGGUCUGAAAAUCUACUUUUACCUUGAAGGUACACAAACCAUAAGACUGGAGCAACGUCAGCAUACUUUUACAAUCCAAUUGUAGUAUGUUCAUGUUGUAGUCUCAUGGCAGGAAAAAAAAUACAAUCAAAAUUUUUCUCUAUGCAAAAGAAAAUGAUCACAUUAUUACAUUUUCAAGACCUAUAGGGUGUUGAUAGGCACGUUUGCACAUUAGUAGAUAUAUAAAUAUAUAGGUCCAGUUCAUGAGAGAGUGUGUUAUUGAUAUGAACUGUAUGAGCACGAUGCAAUGGUGGGUAAUGAUAUUUUAAGUUGAUUUGAGUCAAAACAAUCAGAGUAGUUAAAGACAUGGGUGUUCACCUGAUUUAAAUGAGUAUUUCCACGAUCAGUCUCAGGGACUUAAGCCUGUGUUUGUUCUACAUUUGAGUCAAAUUAAAAUUCUGACUAUGUGAUACAUAUUGUUUUGUUUUAUCAUGAAGAAUUUGUUGUGGUCUGUUUAUAGGGAAUAUUGUGAUUGCUUAUGACUGCACUAUCAACUAAACUGUCUCAGGAAUUUGAAAAGCUUGAUUUGCACGAGAUAAACUUUUUACUAUGCAACU